CGUUUGUGUUCCAAACUUUUGCCGGUAUCUGAUAAGUUAGGUUUAUACUAAAAAAAUAUCUGUUUUCUUUUAUUUUAAUUUUCACUAUGAGUAAAGUGGAUAAUUCCAAGUGGUAUGCGCUGGUGAAAUAUAAGAGUGGCAAUAUAACAGAAGUAUUGCCAGUGCAUAAAAUUAGAGUGAAAGUCGGAAAAGGUCAACGAGUAGCAUUCAAUCCGAAGUCUUUAACGGAUUUUGAUAAGACAAAAUUCUACACCGUUAACACUACGCAUAGCAGCGAGGACGGAAAAGAGCACAAGUGGUAUGCUAUAAUCGGCUUGCUUGCUGAAUCUCGAGAGGCUGUUACGUCCUGGACAAGCAUAGAACAUGCAAUGUCUAGAUUUGUUUAGUUUACUUCGGAUCAGCGCUAUUCUUGUCCAAAUCCUUAUUAUUUGAAUCUGUUUCCUUUGGAGAUGGGUUACUAUUUUAUUCUCGGGACCGAAGAUUUAGAUGGAUCUGUUUUGAAAACAGCCAGGUCGAACGUGCCUGGAUUAUAAUAACUUUUCAACAGACGUCUAAAUUGAAUCCGCCGUCCGGCUCUUCUUGUUCUUUUCGGCAUGAGAGAUUUUUAGCAUAACACUCUUAAAGUAAGGAAGAGAAGAACUGUGCUUGUGGUUCAAGCACUGCGUUCUGGGAAAAAAGGAGGAAUGGUGUUCGUGGUUCAAGCACAACACUCUUAAGGUAAAGAAAAGAAGAACGGUGCUUGUGGUUCAAGCACGGCGUUCUGGAAAAAGAUUGAAGAUGAUAAGAGGGAAGAGAGGCUCUAGACCCUUUGGCAAUCGAUUAACAAGAGGCUCAGCGAAAGACUAUCUGAUGGCUAAUUGGAGGCUAACAAGAGACUGCUUAGAGACUGACGAGAGA